CUUCAAACUGGGUUUUUUUUUUGCUUUCUUUUGGAUCAACAGCAACAAUCAAAUGUGAGGAAGGCUGUACUUGAUGGACACAAGUCUCUUUUCAGCUAUGUAACUAUGUAACUAUGUAUGUAAUAUACAAGCACCCCUUCAAACAUUAACACUAUACAUUACACUAUAGCGCCAGUAAAUGCCACAGCACUGUACAGAUAUACAAC